GACGAACGCUGGCGGCGUGCUUAACACAUGCAAGUCGAACGGAAAGGCCCUGCUUUUGUGGGGUGCUCGAGUGGCGAACGGGUGAGUAACACGUGAGUAACCUGCCCUUGACUUUGGGAUAACUUCAGGAAACUGGGGCUAAUACCGGAUAGGAGCUCCUGCUGCAUGGUGGGGGUUGGAAAGUUUCGGCGGUUGGGGAUGGACUCGCGGCUUAUCAGCUUGUUGGUGGGGUAGUGGCUUACCAAGGCUUUGACGGGUAGCCGGGCUGAGAGGGUGACCGGCCACAUUGGGACUGAGAUACGGCCCAGACUACAACGGGAGGCAGCGGUGGGGAAGAGUGCACUAUGGGCGGAAGCCAGAUGCAGCCACGCCGCGUGCGGGAUGACGUCCUUGGGGUUGUAAACCGCUUUCGCCUGUGACGAAGCGUGAGUGACGGUAAUGGGUAAAGAAGCACCGGCUAACUACGUG
rnacentral:rRNA from 1 species